UACGUAGGGGGCUAGCGUUGUCCGGAAUUAUUGGGCGUAAAGAGCUCGUAGGCGGUUUGUCGCGUCGACUGUGAAAACCUACAGCUUAACUGUGGGCUUGCAGUCGAUACGGGCAGACUUGAGUUCGGUAGGGGAGACUGGAAUUCCUGGUGUAGCGGUGAAAUGCGCAGAUAUCAGGAGGAACACCAGUGGCGAAGGCGGCUCACUGGCCCGGUACUGACGCUGAGGUGCGAAAGCGUGGGGAGCAAACAGG
rnacentral:rRNA from 1 species